GUGUGGUAGAGAGAGGCAGAGUGAGGUAGAGAGAGACAGAGUGAGGUAGAGUGUGGUAGAGAGAGGCAGAGUGAAGUAGAGUGUGGUAGAGAGAGGCAGAGUGAGGUAGAGAGAGGCAGAGGGAGGGGUAGAGUGUGGUAGAGAGAGGCAGAGUGAGGGGUAGAGUGUGGUAGAGAGAGGCAGAGUGUGGUAGAGUGUGGUAGAGAGAGGCAGAGUGAGGUAGAGAGAGGCAGAGUGAGGUAGAGAGAGGCAGAGUGAGGUAGAGAGAGACAGAGUGAGGUAGAGUGUGAUAGAGAGAGGCAGAGUGAGGUAGAGAGAGACAGAGUGAGGUAGAGUGUGGUAGAGAGAGGCAGAGUGAGGUAGAGAGAGACAGAGUGAGGUAGAGUGUGGUAGAGAGAGGCAGAGUGAGGUAGAGAGAGACAGAGUGAGGUAGAGUGUGAUAGAGAGAGGCAGAGUGAGGUAGAGAGAGACAGAGUGAGGUAGAGUGUGGUAGAGAGAGGCAGAGUGAGGUAGAGUGAGGCAGAGUGAGGGGUAGAGUGUGGUAGAGAGAGGCAGAGUGAGGUAGAGAGAGGCAGAGGGAGGGGUAGAGUGUGGUAGAGAGAGGCAGAGU